rnacentral:rRNA from 1 species
AUUGAACGCUGGCGGAAUGCUUUACACAUGCAAGUCGAACGGCAGCACGGGGGCAGCCCUGGUGGCGAGUGGCGAACGGGUGAGUAAUACAUCGGAACGUGCCCGGUCGUGGGGGAUAACGUAGCGAAAGUUACGCUAAUACCGCAUACGAUCUGAGGAUGAAAGCGGGGGGCCUUCGGGCCUCGCGCGAUCGGAGCGGCCGAUGUCAGAUUAGGUAGUUGGUGGGGUAAAGGCCUACCAAGCCGACGAUCUGUAGCUGGUCUGAGAGGACGACCAGCCACACUGGGACUGAGACACGGCCCAGACUCCUACGGGAGGCAGCAGUGGGGAAUUUUGGACAAUGGGCGCAAGCCUGAUCCAGCCAUUCCGCGUGCAGGACGAAGGCCUUCGGGUUGUAAACUGCUUUUGUACGGAACGAAAAGGCUCUGGCUAAUACCUGGGGCUCAUGACGGUACCGUAAGAAUAAGCACCGGCUAACUACGUG